rnacentral:rRNA from 1 species
AUUGAACGCUGGCGGUAUGCUUUACACAUGCAAGUCGAACGGCAGCAUAGGUGCUUGCACCUGAUGGCGAGUGGCGAACGGGUGAGUAAUGCAUCGGAACGUGCCCAGUCGUGGGGGAUAACGCAGCGAAAGCUGUGCUAAUACCGCAUACGAUCUAUGGAUGAAAGCGGGGGACCUUCGGGCCUCGCGCGAUUGGAGCGGCCGAUGUUAGAUUAGGUAGUUGGUGAGGUAAAGGCUCACCAAGCCUACGAUCUAUAGCUGGUCUGAGAGGACGACCAGCCACUCUGGAACUGAGACACGGUCUAGACUCCUACGGGAGGCGGCAGUGGGGAAUUUUGGACAAUGGGCGAAAGCCUGAUCCAGCAAUACCGCGUGCAGGAAGAUGGCCUUCGGGUUGUAAACUGCUUUUGUACGGAACGAAACGGCCUGGAUUAAUACUCUGGGCUAAUGACGGUACCGUACGAAUAAGCACCGGCUAACUACGUGCC